GAUGAACGCUGGCGGCGUGCCUAAUACAUGCAAGUCGAGCGAACGGACGAGAAGCUUGCUUCUCUGAUGUUAGCGGCGGACGGGUGAGUAACACGUGGAUAACCUAACUAUAAGACUGGGAUAACUUCGGGAAACCGGAGCUAAUAACGGAUGAUAUUUUGAACCGAAUGGUUCAAAAGUGAAAGAGGGUCUUGCUGUCACUUAUAGAUGGAUCCGCGCUGCAUUAGCUAGUUGGUAAGGUAACCGCUUACAAAGGCAACGAUGCAUAGCCGACCUGAGAGGAAGAACCGCCACACUGGAACUUUGAAACGGUCCAGACUCCGACGGGAGGCCGCAGUUGGGAAUCUUCCGCCAGGGGCGAAAGCCUGACGGAGCAACGCCGCGUGAGUAGUGAAGGUCUUCGGUUCGUAAAACUCUGUUAUUAGGGAAGAACAUAUAUCUAAGUAACUGUGCACAUCUUGACGGUACCUAAGCAGAAAGCCACGGCUAACUUCGUG
rnacentral:rRNA from 1 species